GACGAAGGGGGCUAGCGUUGUUCGGAAUUACUGGGCGUAAAGCGCGUGUAGGCGGUUGUCCAAGUCGGGUGUGAAAGCCGUGAGCUCAACUCAAGAAAUGCACUCGAUACUGGGCGACUAGAGUGCCGGAGAGGAUAGUGGAAUUCCCAGUGUAGUGGUGAAAUACGUAGAGAUUGGGAAGAACACCAGUGGCGAAGGCGGCUAUCUGGACGGUUACUGACGCUAAGACGCGAAAGCGUGGGGAGCAAACAGG
rnacentral:rRNA from 1 species